rfam:Ovis aries breed Texel chromosome 7, whole genome shotgun sequence.
UCUCUGUUGGUCCAAAGGGAAGACUCUGUGCUCACAAUACAGGGGUCUCUGGUUCGAUUCCUGGUCAGGGAA